rnacentral:rRNA from 1 species
ACGGAGGGUGCAAGCGUUAUCCGGAUUCACUGGGUUUAAAGGGUGCGUAGGUGGGUAAGUAAGUCCGUGGUGAAAUCUCUGAGCUUAACUCUAGAACUGCCGUGGAUACUCUCUGUCUUGAAUCCCGUGGAGAUGAGCGGAAUAUGUCAUGUAGCGGUGAAAUGCUUAGAUAUGACAUAGAACACCAAUUGCGAAGGCAGCUCGUUACACGAAGAUUGACUCUGAGGCACGAAAGCGUGGGGAUCAAACAGGA